rnacentral:rRNA from 1 species
AGUCGAGGGGCAGCAUUUUAGUUUGCUUGCAACUAAAGAUGGCGACCGGCGCACGGGUGAGUAACACGUAUCCAACCUGCCGAUAACUCGGGGAUAGCCUUUCGAAAGAAAGAUUAAUAUCCGAUGGUAUAUUAAAACCGCAUGGUUUUACUAUUAAAGAAUUUCGGUUAUCGAUGGGGAUGCGUUCCAUUAGUUUGUUGGCGGGGUAACGGCCCACCAAGACUACGAUGGAUAGGGGUUCUGAGAGGAAGGUCCCCCACAUUGGAACUGAGACACGGUCCAAACUCAUACGGGAGGCAGCAGUGAGGAAUAUUGGUCAAUGGACGAGAGUCUGAACCAGCCAAGUAGCGUGAAGGAUGACUGCCCUAUGGGUUGUAAACUUCUUUUAUAUGGGAAUAAAGUAUUCCACGUGUGGGAUUUUGUAUGUACCAUAUGAAUAAGGAUCGGCUAACUCCGUGCCAGCAGCCGCGGUAAUACGGAGGAUCCGAGCGUUAUCCGGAUUUAUUGGGUUUAAAGGGAGCGU